GAUGAACGCUGGCGGCGUGCCUAAUACAUGCAAGUAGAACGCUGAAGGAGGAGCUUGCUCUUCUGGAUGAGUUGCGAACGGGUGAGUAACGCGUAGGUAACCUGCCUGGUAGCGGGGGAUAACUAUUGGAAACGAUAGCUAAUACCGCAUGACAACAGUUAUUGCAUGAUAACUGUUUAAAAGGGGCAACUGCUCCCCUACCAGAUGGACCUGCGUUGUAUUAGCUAGUUGGUGAGGUAACGGCUCACCAAGGCGACGAUACAUAGCCGACCUGAGAGGGGGAUCGGCCACACUGGGACUGAGACACGGCCCAGACUCCUACGGGAGGCAGCAGUAGGGAAUCUUCGGCAAUGGACGGAAGUCUGACCGAGCAACGCCGCGUGAGUGAAGAAGGUUUUCGGAUCGUAAAGCUCUGUUGUAAGAGAAGAACGAGUGUGAGAGUGGAAAGUUCACACUGUGACGGUAUCUUACCAGAAAGGGACGGCUAACUACGUG
rnacentral:rRNA from 1 species